UACCAGCACCCCGAGUGGUCGGGACGAUUAUUGGGCCUAAAGCAUCCGUAGCCGGUCCUGCAAGUCUUCCGUUAAAUCCAGCUGCUCAACAGAUGGGCUGCGGGGGAUACUACAGGGCUAGGAGGCGGGAGAGGCAAGCGGUACUUUAUGGGUAGGGGUAAAAUCCGUUGAUCCAUAGAAGACCACCAGUGGCGAAGGCGGCUUGCCAGAACGCGCUCGACGGUGAGGGAUGAAAGCUGGGGGAGCAAACUGG
rnacentral:rRNA from 1 species